rnacentral:rRNA from 1 species
AUUGAACGCUGGCGGCAGGCCUAACACAUGCAAGUCGAACGAGUGGCGGACGGGUGAGUAAUGUCUGGGAAACUGCCUGAUGGAGGGGGAUAACUACUGGAAACGGUAGCUAAUACCGCAUACCAUCGGAUGUGCCCAGAGGGGAUUAACUAGUAGGUGGGGUAAAGGGUCACCUAGGCGACGAUCCCUAGCUGGUCUGAGAGGAUGACCAGCCAAACAGGGACUGAGACACGAUCCGGACUCCUACGGGAGGGAGCAGUGGGGAAUAUUGCACAAUGGGCGCAAGCCGGAUGCAGCCAUGCCGCGUGUAUGACUAAGGCCUUCAGGUUGUAAGGUGCUUUCGGCGGGGAGGCGUUACCCGCAGAAGAAGCACCGGCUAACUCCGUGCCAGCAGCCGCGGUAAUUC